UCGAAAACCUAAGAGAUGAGAACAUUGCUUCGAUAUAUCGUCUAAGUAAGGGCGGAAUAGAGCGAUUGUUGGUUUUGAUCGGGGAAGACAUAGCACCAACUUGCCGGCGAGCUCAUCCCUUUCAUUCCGUCGCUUAGAUUUUGGCAUAUUGCAUAUUGCCAAGGGAGAUGUUUACUGAGGAUUCCAUGCCAUUAAUGUGCAGGCUGUUGCUGACGCCAGCAUGAGCAAUAUCUGAGCACCAAUGAUGAGGGUCAUCUGCUGGGAGAUAGUGGGUAUCCGUUAAGGACUAACCUGAUGACCCCUUAACCUCAUCCCUCCCAUGCUGCGGAACAGGCCUACAAUGACCAUCUAUGUAGAGGAUAUCUGCAUGCCACUGGUGGAUGUUGGCCUUUCAAGUCCAAUAAGUGCUGUGAAAUAUCAACUGUGUACAUGCCCCUGCAUAACCUGUGUCUGGAUUCAAACGUUCCACUGAUAGAGGAAUUGGUUGGAAAUGUGAUGGAACCGGAAGUUAUGAACAACACACCAGUACAUCGAGCAGCAUGUGAUAAGAGGCAGCAGCUGAUCAAACUGUUUCAUAAAAUGUGUUAAAAACUUAUAGUUAUACAU